rnacentral:rRNA from 1 species
AUGUACGUCGGUUCCAACCCCACCUCGCAGAUCAGGAACUCCGACAUACGCUGCAGCACACCACCUUAAUGUCUUCUUCAACUGUUCUACUUUGGCGGCAAUCUUCUCCUCGCAGAGAUAUGCGACAGAAUGCAGCGCCUGCCUAAACAUCCCAGAGCCACGGGGCACACCUAUACGUUCGGCGGACGCGACCAUCCCGAGGACGCGCUCUGGGCUGGAGGUGAUGACCAUCGGUAUUUGGAUGAACAGCUUGGCAAUAUCACAAGCACCUAG